rnacentral:rRNA from 1 species
GACGAACGCUGGCGGCGUGCCUAAUACAUGCAAGUAGAACGCAGUUGCGAACGGGUGAGUAACGCGUAGGUAACUGCCUGGUAGCGGGGGAUAACUAUUGGAAACGAUAGCUAAUACCGCAUACUACAAGAUGGACCUGCGUUGUAUUAGCUAGUUGGUGGGGUAACGGGGCACCAAGGCCAAGAUACAUAGCCGACCUUGGAGGGGGAGCGGCCAAACCGGGACUGGGGACACGCCCAGACUCCUACGGGAGGCAGCAGGAGGGAAACUUCGGAAAUGGGAGGAAGUCUGACCGCGCAAAGCCGCGUGAGUGAAGAAGGUUUUUGGAGUGGAAAGCUCUUUUGGACGAGAAGCGGUAUCUUACCAGAAAGGGACGGCUAACUACGUGCCAGCCGCCGCGGUAAUAC